UCCUGUCAAUUACCAGCCUGUAAAUGCAGGCAGCAAUAUGUGGUCCUGUGGUGAAUUCUGCCAACCACUUUAAUGGACUUGAAAGAGGAUCCCAAGCUGCAGAUAAGAAUGCAGCUUUACUUCACUUUGGUUUUCUUUGAAGUAGGUAUAUUAUUCAUUAUUGUUAUUUACUAAGAAAUUUAAGUGUUUAGACUAUUUUUUUUUACUUAUUGACUUUGCAUCCUGCUCACUGUCCCCCUCCUGGUCACCCCUGCCAACCUCCCCUUCUCUGAGAGGGUAGGGGCCCUUUGGGUAUCCCCCUUACCCUAGCACAUCAAGUUGUCUGUAAGGUUAGAUGCAUUCUCUCACACUGAGGCCAGAAAAGGCAUCCCAGCUAGAAGAAUACAUCCCACAAACAGGCAACAGCUUUUGGAAUAGCCACCACUCAAGUUGUUUGAGACUCACAUGAAGAUCAAUCUGCCCAUUUGCUACAUAUGUGCCUAGGUCCAGCCCCUGUAUUUUUUUUUUUUUUUUGAUUUGUUGUUCAGUCUCUGAGAUCCGCAAGAGUCCAGGUCAGUUGACUCUGUUGGUCUUCCUGUGGAGUUCGUAUCUGCCUUGGGGCCCCACAAUCCCUCCUGUUCUUCCAUAAGAGUCCCAAAGCUCCACUCACUGUUUGGCUGGGAGUAUAUGGAUCUGAGUCAGCUGCUGAAUGGAGCCUCUUUUUACUUCUGUAUGAUACUGAGCUUUAAGUCCAGCCAGACUGUAUGCAGACAUCUGAAUUACAAGGCUGUAAACUAACACAUCAGUGUAUUAAGCUGCUAAGUGUAUGGUCAUUUCUUAUGAAUCAGUAUAAAUUCAAUAUAUAAGUAAAUAUCCCUCUUUUCUUGCUUCUAGUUAAGAACCACAGGAAUAGGUAAGUUAUGACAAAAACAAGCUGAGGCUAUGGAAGUCCUUGUCCUUGAGUGCACCUGUGAUUAAAUGUAGCAUUGUAAUGGAUAUUGAUUAAGGUAUAAUGAAAAAGAAGAAAAAAUACUUAGUGAAUUUAGAAAAAAACCUAAAUGUAUUUAAAUAUCUACUUUAACCUAUACUCACACAUUCACUGAAUCACACAUUUGCACCUCAUUUGCAAAUUAUUAUCUAGAACCUCAGUUAUGCUGCUAUCUGCUUGAUGUUAGGGAAUGGCUGCCAUCUUGCUUACAGGGCCUUUUCCCAUUUACUAUAACUGCAUGCCUUUAAAAUUUGUGUCUAACUUCAAUGUCUAACACUUGAAUUUCAUUACAAGUACUUUUUUUGAAAUCUUUAAUCAAAAAAGUCAUAUAUUUAUAGUAUAAAGCACAAGAAAAUGAAAGAAGCAUAUAUUUUGAAAUGAUUAAAUGAAAAAAUUUAACAUAUAUCAAUCACCUUACAAACUUAGCAUUUUGUUGUCCUGAUCAAAGCACUUUUCAUGUUUACAUUUCUUUAAUUUUUUGACUGGAUCUCUCUAUGUCAUUCAGAUGGGCCCUCCUCCUCCAGUUUCCUGAGUGGUGGUACCACAGCCCUGCAGAGCUGAGUCACAAUUGGUGGUGGCUGUGGUUGAAAACAUCUAUUCCACUUCAAGUAGCAGUUCCUGAAGAGCUACAGAAAACCCAAUCCUCAGGGCUGUCCCUAGCAGUGUCACAGAAUACCAGCUUCAGCAUACCGUCCUCCCUGUCCACAUAUCCUCUGGAUCCUACAGACCAUUCCCCCUUCAUCACUGUAUCCCAGCCUCAACUCAAGAGGACACCCUCCUGAUCCACCAUAGUUCAUAUCUGCCAGAAGACCAGGUCUCCCCUCUGCAAAGGGACCCCUAGUCCAUUUUGCACAAAGCUCAAGUCCAAUUGGGUCAAGGACCUCAACAUAAAAUCAAAUACACUCAAACUAAUAGAAGAGAAAGUGGGCAAGAACCUCGGACACAUGGACACUGGGGAAAAUUUCCUGAACAGAAUACCAAUGGCUUAUACUCUAAGAUCAAGAAUCGACAAAUGUGACCUCAUAAAACUGCAAAGCUUCUGUAGGUCAAAGGACACUGUCAUUAGGACAAAUGGCAACCAACAGACUGGUAAAAGAUAUUUACCAAUCCUACAUCUGAUAGAGGGCUAAUACCCAAUAUAUACAAAGAACUCAAGAAGGUAGACUCCAGAGAGUCAAAUAACCCUAUUAAAAAUGGGGUACAAAGCUAAACAAAGAGUUCCCAGCUGAGGAAUAUCGAAUGGCUAAGAAACACCGAAUGAAAUGUUCAACAUCCUUAUUCAUCAGGGAAAUGCAAAUCAAAACGACAUCAAGAUACCACCUGGAGACCCGGUGAGAAAGAGACCCAACCGCCUGGUCAGGUGGGCACUCCUGAGGCGGCAGAGCGGAAGAGACCACCAACACUGCUCACCCCUGCCCACAUCCAUGGCCCAAGAGGAAACUGUAUAAGGCCUCUGGGCUCCCGUGGGGGAGGGCCCAGGAGCGGCAGGACCCCUGCCAGAGACACCGCCGGACCCUGAAGGAAACAGACCGGAUAAACAGUUCUCUGCACCCAAAUCCCGUGGGAGGGAGAGCUAAACCUUCAGAGAGGCAGACAAGCCUGGGAAACCAGAAGAGACUGCUCCCUGCACACACAUCUCAGACGCCAGAGGAAAAAGCCAAAGACCAUCUGGAACCCUGGUGCACUGAAGCUCCCGGAAGGGGCGGCACAGGUCUUCCUGGUUGCUGCCACUGCAGAGAGCCCCUGGGCAGCACCCCACGAGCAAACCUGAGCCUCGGGACCACAGGUAAGACCAAAUUUUCUGCUGCAAGAAAGCUGCCUGGUGAACUCAAGACACAGGCCCACAGGAACAGCUGAAGACCUGUAGAGAGGAAAAACUACACGCCCGAAAGCAGAACACUCUGUCCCCAUAACUGACUGAAAGAGAGGAAAACAGGUCUACAGCACUCCUGACACACAGGCUUAUAGGACAGUCUAGCCACUGUCAGAAAUAGCAGAACAAAGUAACACUAGAGAUAAUCUGAUGGCGAGAGGCAAGCACAGGAACCCAAGCAACAGAAACCAAGACUACAUGCCAUCAUCGGAGCCCAAUUCUCCCACCAAAACAAACAUGGAAUAUCCAAACACACCAGAAAAGCAAGAUCUAGUUUCAAAAUCAUAUUUGAUCAUGAUGCUGGAGGACUUCAAGAAAGACCUGAACACACUUAGGGAAGCACAGGAAAACAUUAAUAAACAAGUAAAAGCCUACAGAGAGGAUUCGCAAAAAUCCCUGAAAGAAUUCCAGGAAAACACAAUCAAACAGUUGAAGGAAUUAAAAAUGGAAAUAGAAGCAAUCAAGAAAGAACACAUGGAAACAACCCUGGAUAUAGAAAACCAAAAGAAGAGACAAGGAGCUGUAGAUACAAGCUUCACCAACAGAAUACAAGAGAUGGAAGAGAGAAUCUCAGGAGCGGAAGAUUCCAUAGAAAUCAUUGACUCAACUGUCAAAGAUAAUGUAAAGCGGAAAAAGCUACUGGUCCAAAACAUACAGGAAAUCCAGGACUCAAUGAGAAGAUCAAACCUAAGGA